UUAAAUUCGAUGAAGGGAAAAGUAAAUUUUAUCUAAGUAUCUAAAGCGAGUGGAGGAUGGUGAGAGCUCCAUGAGAAAAGUAAUGUUGAAAGACAUCCCAGAGAAGCUAAUUUGAAAUUAAGUAGGAUUAGUCGGAAUCCUCCGUUAAAAGGAAUAAAAGAUAACUUAGUUACUUAACUAGUUAAAGUAGAAUGGCACCGUGAACACAGCUUUCACUUCUAUA
rfam:Paeniclostridium sordellii ATCC 9714 gcs9714.contig.98, whole genome shotgun sequence.